GUUUCGACUUUCGAGGUAUCGAAAUUAUAACGAGAUGUGACGUCACACUAAAUUCGUCUAUUAAGGUGAUUCGAUGGCUUGUCGAGUUGAGAAUCUGUGAUAAGAGAUCGCGCCACGGUCGACAAAGAACCGCGAAAUUCGAAAAGCCGCCAUUACGCGACUCUCGUGACGAAAAUGGACUCUCUUUGAAAAAAAGAGUCAGAAUAUCAGAUUUUUGGAAUCGCACUUCUGUUGCCAGACGUUAAAUCGAUCUGCACUCAAAAUUUCAUUGUAGAAAAUUAAGAAUUGAAGCCGGCUAAUUUUCAGAGGUGAGGACACCUCAUGUGAGUUCUGAGCAACUGCAUGAGAAGGAGCGAGUUUUCUUUAAAAUUAACCCUUUAAUUUUCUUCAUCUAAAUCGCAAAUGUCAAGCCCAUUGCUUUAAAUUGAUGCUCCGAAAAUUUCAGGCCAAACAAAGUUAAAUUGAAUUCAGCGUUUUUUAAUUGCUGACUCCACUUCGAGGUCUGUGAUUCUUCCUCCCGUGUUUUCCAAUGUUUGUUAUUGUUACCUACGAAACCUAACCUCAAAGUUUCCUCGAAUGUGCGAAUGAAAACAAACAAAUCUGUCGCGUUGUGUGAAGUGAAAUAGUUUCGUGAUUUGUAUGUGAGAAAUCUCACUAUUCAUCAUGAAUUUGGCUUUUCGGCUUACUAUCAGUAUCUAAAGAAGAAAAUGUGACUCCUCCCUGCCUGAAAUUAAAUGAAUUCAACUGCUUUUCCUCAUUGUGGAUCACCGUCGUUACCUUCAUGAUAAGUUUCAAUAAUCAAGGUGGAAUUCCAAUUCCAAAACAAUGGAACAAUAGAACAACGGACAAUGGAAAAAUUUUAAAAAUACUUAAAUGCGGCUGAUUAUCAAAGCCAAUAAAGAAUGUGUGAUGUUAGUCAUGUAGAGCAAAAACCUUGGAUUGGAGGAAGAGAAAUCCAGUCUGGUUGGCCUGUGGAUACCCAAGUUUAUUCUCUCAUGUUUUGAUUUCACAUUGAUCACAGCAAAUUUUUCUGAGGAAGCUGAGGUUUUUCAAAUCUUUCAUACUACAGACACGUGAUUCGUACAUCAAAGGAGUACUUUUUCCCUGACUGACUUCCCUAUCCUGAGACACCUAAGCAA